AUGAAGGUCAAAACGAAGAUCAGCAAAGCUGCCGAGUUCUUGAGGAAGGCGGUGCGGGCGCUGAGGGGCAGGGCUGGCGUCCUCAGGGCGCGGCUCCUCUUCCUCGCCUCGUUCCGCCACAGGACGGCGAUGGUCGGCACCGUGUCGCGCCACCUCCGCGCCCUCCUGCCGGGCCGCCAGAGAGACCCGGUGCACGACCACCGCAAGAUGGCGGCGGAGGAGGACGGGCAGGCCGCGAUGCAUGGAGUCGACGUCCCAGGCCUCUCCGAGCUGUUGCAAGAAGUGGUCGGCGACGACGAUGACGGCCACUACGGCUACCCAGACUGGACGCACUCACUGUUCGACGACAACGAUGACGACUGCAGCCUCCAGGAGGACGAGCCGUCGGUGAUGGACGUCAUCAGGAGGUGCAGGGAAGGGGACGGAAAGGAGUUCAACAUCAAGGAGGAGAUCGACCACGCCGCUGACAUGUUCAUACGGCGGGUCCGCAGCCGAAUGAACAACCGGAGCUUCUAG
rnacentral:rRNA from 1 species